AUACAGAGUUCCAGGAACUGCCCAGCUGAGUUCCAGACCUCCAGCGUGAAGGAAGGCUCCCCAGCCCUCCCAAACGGGACAGCGCUGCCCCAUCCAUGGAGACCAGCCCCAAACGCAGAAUUUAGGGAAUUAAUCCACUUCAGAAUCCAUCUCCAGGGCUUUCCAGCCUGAUCCAGCCAGUCUGUCCAAACAGGACAUGGAUAGCAAGCUGGGACAGAAAUGCUCUACCCAGUGCUGAUAGAGAGUGUGGAAAGUGCCAUAUUCAAACACCACACCUGCCCAAGGAAUGCAGCGUCACCUGCGCUCAUUCCCCGAGCAAACCCCGCCAGAGCUGCCUGUGUUUACACUUCACAGGUGUCAAAAAGGUGCUUACAAGCUCGGGGGGCUCUGAGCUGGGCUGCCUCUUCCUCAGAGAGGAAAACCUCUGCUGACUCCGCACUGAAAACCUUCGGAAGGACUCUCUGCUCCGGGAUGCAAAGUGCCUG